UGGAGAUAUUUUUUCUCGUCGGUUUACGAUAGUGCAGACGGGGUCAACCAUUUGGGACACGAGUCGUCGUUCUGGGCUCUACGAAAAACAAGUGAAACAGCCUUUGUCCUUUUUCUUCUUUCAACAGUAAACAACAAAAGCUAGACAACUAAUGGCCGGUCUUGUAACGUUUUUAGAGAGCAUUUUCAGAUGAUGUUUUCAUAGAAUGAAAACGUAUUUUUAAGAAAUAAAAAUGUAUCUGGUAUAUU
rnacentral:lncRNA from 1 species